rnacentral:rRNA from 1 species
AUCAGAUGAGUCUGCGUACCAUUAGCUAGUUGGUAGGGUAAUGGCCUACCAAGGCGACGAUGGUUAGCGGGUCUGAGAGGAUGAUCCGCCACACUGGAACUGAAACACGGACCAGACUCCUACGGGAGGCAGCAGUGAAGCCUGACGGAGCAACGCCGCGUGAGCGAAGAAGGUCUUCGGAUUGUAAAGCUCUGUGAUAUUGGACGAACAAUUUCCCGUAAAUAAUGGGAAGGAAUGACGGUACAAUAAGAGGAAGCCACGGCUAACUACGUGCCAGCAGCCGCGGUAAUACGUAGGUGGCAAACGUUGUCCGGAAUUACUGGGCGUAAAGGGCGAGUAGGUGGUUUAUUAAGUAGAAGUGAAAACUCCGGGCUCAACUCGGAGACUGCUCUACGAAACUGGUAGACUUGAGUGCAAGAGAGGGAAGUGGAAUUCCUAGUGUAGCGGUGAAAUGCGUAGAUAUUAGGAGGAACACCAGUGGCGAAGGCGACUUCCUGGCUUGUAACUGACACUGAGGCGCGAAAGCGUGGGGAUCAAACAGGAUUAGAUACCCUGGUAGUCCACGCCGUAAACGAUGAGUGCUAGGUGUCGGGGCCGCAAGGUCUCGGUGCCGCAGCUAACGCAUUACCGCCUGGGGAGUACGGUCGCAAGACUGAAACUCAAAGGAAUUGACGGGGGCCCGCACAAGCGGUGGAGUAUGUGGUUUAAUUCGACGCAACGCGAAGAACCUUACCAAGGCUUGACAUCCCGUGACAGCUAUAGAAAUAUAGACUUCUUAGUUUACUUGCACACGGAGACAGGUGGUGCAUGGUUGUCGUCAGCUCGUGUCGUGAGAUGUUGGGUUAAGUCCCGCAACGAGCGCAACCCCUACAGCCAGUUGCCAGCACGUAAAGGUGGGAACUCUGGCAGAACUGCCGUUGACAAAACGGAGGAAGGUGGGGAUGACGUCAAAUCAUCAUGCCCCUUAUGUCUUGGGCUACACACGUGCUACAAUGGCAGUUACAGAGGGCAGCGAAGCGGUAACGUGAAGCGAAUCUCAAAAAAGCUGUCUCAGUUCGGAUCGUGGGCUGCAACCCGCCCACGUGAAGUCGGAGUUGCUAGUAAUCGCGAAUCAUCAUGUCGCGGUGAAUACGUUCCCGGGCCUUGUACACACCGCCCGUCACACCAUGGGAGUUGGGAGCGCCCGAAGUCAGUAUCCUAACCGUAAGGAGGGAGCUGCCGAAGGCGAGAUCAAUGACUGGGGUGAAGUCGUAACAAGGUAACCA